UACGGGGGGCGCAAGCGUUGUUCGGAUUUACUGGGCGUAAAGGGCGCGUAGGCGGCCAGCGCAAGUCAGUUGUGAAAUCUCCGGGCUUAACUCGGAACGGUCAACUGAUACUGCGCGGCUAGAGUGCGGAAGGGGCAACUGGAAUUCUCGGUGUAGCGGUGAAAUGCGUAGAUAUCGAGAGGAAUACCUGCGGCGAAGGCGGGUUGCUGGGCCGACACUGACGCUGAUGCGCGAAAGCCAGGGGAGCGAACGGG
rnacentral:rRNA from 1 species